rnacentral:rRNA from 1 species
AGGGAAUAUUGCGCAAUGGAGGAAACUCUGACGCAGCGACGCCGCGUGAGCGAUGAAGGUUUUCGGAUCGUAAAGCUCUGUCCUUGGGGAAGAAGGUCUUCGGACUUGACGGUACCCAAGAAGAAAGCCCCGGCUAACUACGUGCCAGCAGCCGCGGUAACACGUAGGGGGCAAGCGUUGUCCGGAAUUAUUGGGCGUAAAGGGUGCGUAGGCGGCCUUUUAAGUCAGAUGUGAAAGCCCGCGGCUUAACUGCGGGAUUGCAUUUGAAACUGGGAGGCUUGAGUAUCGGAGAGGGUAGUGGAAUUCCCAGUGUAGCGGUGAAAUGCGUAGAUAUUGGGAGGAACACCAGUGGCGAAGGCGACUGCCUGGACGAAAACUGACGCUGAGGCACGAAAGCUAGGGGAGCAAAC